rnacentral:tRNA from 1 species
UGGAAGACUGUGCCUCAGUGGUAGAACAUCUGCUUGGCAUACAGAAAGUCGCAGGUUCAAUCCCAGCUUUUCCAG